UUUGGUUCAUAAUUUGCUCUCAACACAAUCUAAAUCCAUCUGGCUGUACUUUAACUUUCUAGUUACUUGAAAAUACACCAAGAUGGCACCAGCUCAGUCAGUGGCCCUGAGAUUGGCUAUUCCAGUGGUUUGCUGAGUUCCAUUGUCUUUCCCCCCUGCAAUUAGAUCAGCCCUGUGUUCUCUGGGGUUAGAAGACAGCAAGGAAAGGAAAAUUGCCUCCUGUGGAUCUGCUGUGCCUUCUGUUGAACCGGUUCACCACUUGGCUGUCCUCUCUUCCACCUCGGGCAAAACCACAUGAUGCUUCCCCAUGUGUUCUCUGACAGGCUUCAGAGGACUGGGGCUCAGGGUCCAUGAAUUGAAAGGCUGAGAAACACAAUUACAGUGUCUCCCGGAAACCAGGAUUGAUGAGAAGGCAUCCAGAGCUCUGGCACAACCAAGACUGAUGUUCUUACAGGAAUUUCUUCUAUGUAAUAUGUAGACUUACGGGUGUGAAAGUAGAAUAUAGCCAAGAGGGAAAGAAAGGAAUGGUGAUCAGAGAAGGUUGAUCUGUGUGGACUUGAAGAAGGAAGGCUGAGCUGAAAUGCUAACCAGGCAGCAGAGUGGUGGUCAGUAAAGUUGAGAGAAGGAUCAGCAAACAUAUUGUUAUGGGGCUAAAUAUUCCUACUGUGUAGACCCUGUGCUUAGGGAAGGUUAGGUCCUGUGCAACUGAACUGGACCAUGCUCCAUGAU
rnacentral:lncRNA from 1 species